GAACCCCGAGACGUCACAUAUUCUCUUAUUAAACUUCAAAACCUUAGAAAGAAGAGGAAGCAUCAUAAACCAGAGCAGAGUGCUGUUUACUCUGAGGUGAAGACGGGAGCUGCAGAGGACAGUCUGAUGUAUGCUGAGGUCAAACAGCCCAAAAAAGAAAAAGCCAAGAACAACAAAGGAAAAUCAAGUCCUGCAGCUGAUGCAGCAGUUUAUUCUGAAGUCACAUCAGGAAGCUCUCUCAGUAAUUCUGCUGCCAUGCAGGCUGAUUUAUUCUUCACAUUAUUAAAUGUCUUCAGCUCAUAAUAUCUUUACAUGUUGGAAAUCACUUUGUCUUUUUGUGCUUGUC